UACGUAGGGGGCAAGCGUUGUCCGGAUUUACUGGGCGUAAAGAGCGUGUAGGCGGCCAAGCAGGUCCGUUGUGAAAACUGGAGGCUUAACCUCCAGACGUCGACGGAAACCGCGUGGCUAGAGUCCGGAAGAGGGGAGUGGAAUUCCUGGUGUAGCGGUGAAAUGCGCAGAUAUCAGGAAGAACACCAAUGGCGAAGGCAGCUCUCUGGGACGUGACUGACGCUGAGACGCGAAAGCGUGGGGAGCAAACAGG
rnacentral:rRNA from 1 species